rnacentral:lncRNA from 1 species
CUCCCAAAAUCAUACCAACCUUCCUUUUGUAGUCAUUAACAUUGUGUUUAAAUUUCAUUGAUUUCUAUUUACUUAAACUAAAGUUAUUGUGCGAAAACCAAGAAUAAUGCUUAUUUGGGCCCUUUUUUGCCCCCUAAUUCCUAAACUGUUGAAACCUAAACUCCCAAAAUCAAUCCCAACCGUUCUUUUGUGGUCAUAAACCUUGUGUCAAAAUUUCAUAGAUUUCUAUUAACUUAAACUAAAGUUAUAGUGCGAAAACCAAGAAAAUGCUUAUUUGGGCCCUUUUUGGCCCCUAAUUCCUAAAAUGUUGGGACCAAAACUCCCAAAAUCAAUACCAACCUUCCUUUUGUGGUCAUAAACCUUGUGUUAAAAUUUCAUAGAUUUCCAUUCACUUUUAUUAAAGUUAGAGUGCGAAAACUAAAAGUAUUCGGACGCCGGACGACGACGACGACGACGCCGACGCCAACGUGAUAGCAAUAUACGACGAAAAAUUUUACAAAUUUUGCGGUCGUAUAAAAAGAAUUUGAUUUUCUGACAUAUCAGUUUAUCUGAAUAAAGCACCAUUUAUUCUGCCAAUAAUUCAAAACAUUGCGUAGUCUUGAUGAAUCAAGAGUAGUAUCUAUUCAAAUAUGAUAACUAUGGAUCCAUUUAUUUUUGUGGGUACAAAUUUCUUUAAAUUAAGUAAAACUUACAUUUUCGUGGAUAUUUGAUUACAUGGGUUUGCCACACAGGCCUACAGAAAAUCUGUUAUUCAUAUUACAUUUAAAUUUGUUGUUCAACCUCACCAGAAUGAAAUCAUCUAAAAUUGGUAUCCAGCGAAAAAAUAAAGAAUCUGCAGUAUAAGGGGUAUACAUCAAUUUUAAAAAGUUACCCAAAGACAAAAAAUAUCAUCUAGGCUGCAACAUACUGUCUCCAACAAUAAACAGGUUUCUAUACAAACUGUCAUUCUUCAAGUUAUCUGGGGUCUAUAAUAGAUAAAUUCUAAAAAUAGAACUGAGGCUAUCAUUGUACUCAGACUCAGAAUUCAACCAAUCAAAAUACUUGAAUUGGUGUUUCCAGCACAGAUUCUUGAACUCAGAGCACUGAGUUAAGUUUAAAGUCUGAGGGCCCUGCCAAUUCUCAAAAUAACAAAAACCAUUAUACCACAUAAAACAUUUACUGACUUUGAACAGACACAUUCAGACAAAAGGUGGGUAAAACAUGUUUUAUAAGAUCUAAUCCCUCCCCCUGUUAUUUUUAGCCUACAUCAAAAGAUAAACCAACUAUACAUCAGCUUAUAAUUGAAUGAGUAGGGAUAAUUAUUUUGUUAAACACAUAUUUCACAAAGUAAUUGUACAAAGUGAAAGAAGUUUUUGAAAUGUGAAUUAUCUGUCCAACUUAUAUGAAAAAUAACAAUAUUUUAUUGCAAAAAU